UACGAAGGGUGCAAGCGUUGUUCGGAUUUAUUGGGCGUAAAGCGUACGUAGGCGGACGGUUAAGUCAGGUGUGAAAUCUCGGGGCUCAACCCCGAAAUUGCGCCUGAAACUGGCCAUCUAGAAUACUGAAGAGGGAGGGGGAAUUUCGCAUGUAGGGGUAAAAUCCGUAGAUAUGCGAAGGAACACCAGAGGCGAAGGCGACUUCCUGGUCGGUUAUUGACGCUGAUGUACGAAAGCGUGGGGAGCAAACAGG
rnacentral:rRNA from 1 species